rnacentral:rRNA from 1 species
GAUGAACGCUGGCGGCGCGCCUAACACAUGCAAGUCGAACGAUUAAAGCACCUUCGGGUGUGUAUAAAGUGGCGAACGGCUGAGUAACACGUGGGCAACCUGCCCCUCUCAUUGGGAUAGCCACGGGAAACCGUGGAUAAUACCGAAUACUUCGGGACUUCCGCAUGGAAGACUCGAGAAAGCUCCGGCGGAGAGGGAUGGGCCCGCGGCCUGUUAGCUUGUUGGUGGGGUAAUGGCCUACCAAGGCAAUGAUGGGUAGCUGGGUUGAGAGACCGACCAGCCAGAUUGGGACUGAGGAACGGCCCAGACUCCUACGGGAGGCAGCAGUGGGGAAUCUUGCACAAUGGGCGAAAGCCUGAUGCAGCGACGCCGCGUGCGGGAUGAAGGCCUUCGGGUUGUAAACCGCUUUCAGCAGGGACGAGGCGAAAGUGACGGUACCUGCAGAAGAAGCCCCGGCUAACUACGUG